rnacentral:rRNA from 1 species
UACAGAGGCCUCGAGCGUUAGGCGGAAUCACUGGGCUUAAAGCGUGUGUAGGCGGACUUCUAAGUACCUUGUGAAAUCCCACGGCUCACCCGUGGAACUGCUUGGUAUACUGGUUGUCUUGAGCCUUCUAGGGGCGAGUGGAACAAAUGGUGGAGCGGUUAAAUGCGUAGAUAUCAUUUGGAACGCCAAUGGUGAAAACAGGUAGCUGGGGCUGUGCUGACGCUGAGACACGAAAGCCAGGGGAGCAAACGGG